CUGAAUAACUGCUAGAUCCUUGGACUUCCAUUCACAGCUACUACUGAACCAUUGUUGGGAAUUGGACUGCAGACUAUAUAUUCAACAUCAUCACCUUUUGUAACCAUCUGUGGCCACACUAACUGGGUUCCUGAAUGGGAGGCCGGAGCUGUAUGGAAGGAAACGGUGAGAGAUUUACAGAAGCAAGGGCUAACUGCCUAUAGAUAACACCAGCUACUCUUCCCAAUAUCUACUUCUCAAAUGGAUCUCAGGAGAAGGGAUUCAGAUGUUCUGGAAGUGCCAGUGGUGUUACAUCUCUUAGAGAGAGAGGUGCAGAUGGCUGUGAACUGCCUUAUCCUCAAACUCAGUGUCUAUAUGAGGAGAACGACCUUAAACGUAUGUUUCAGAGGACUGGGACUACAUGAGUGCACCAACAUGGCUGGUUUCUGUGAUGCUGCAAUCGAACCCAGGACUUCAUCCAUUCAAGGCAGUGACUCUAUCAACUGUUCUUCAUUCCCAGCACUAUUCCAUGGCAUGGUGCAUAACAUUGAUCCAGCUUCUGGAUCAAUUUCGCCAAUGGAAUCUGCAAACCUGAAGGUUGAUGGAACAUCAGCAUUCUGGUUGCAGUUGUGAAGGAGGAAUGGAUUGCUUGCAAAAUUAGACAGCAAGAUGGAGAGGAGCUAGCAGUCUUCUCACCUCUGAUUUAUUAAAAUUAUGUCAGG
rnacentral:lncRNA from 1 species